rnacentral:lncRNA from 1 species
AAAGGCCAGCUCGGUGGACACGGGCAGGUCGUGAGUUCAAAGCCGGCCUCUGCCACACGGUGAGACCCUGUCUCAUAGAAAGAAAAGCCAGCUGGGGGCCGUGGUGCACACCGGUCAUCCCAGCACUCAGGAGGCUGAGGCAGGAGGACUCCAAGUUCACCACCAGCCUCUGCAACUCAGCGAGACUCUGACUCAAAUAAAAAAAGGCUGGGGGUGUAGCUCAGCUGAUUUAAGAAGUGGGUGGUCCCCAAAGGCGGUUCCCCAGGAGCCCUGAAGGCCCUUUCCUGGUCUCCUUUGGGCCUCUCCCUGCCUCCCAGGAGCCUUUCAGCUGACGCUCAGGAAGUGGGUGCCAAGAGCUGGCCCCCACUGCACGGUCCCCAGGCCCAGAGAACAGGGACUCAGUGCUGGGGGUCAGGAGAUCAUUAUGCCUCGGUUCAUCUCUGACUCAGGAUUCAGUGGUCCCCAAUCAGGCAGCAGAGACCGUGGGCAGCUGGAGGCAGAAAGGGGAAGAGGGGACCGUCUCCCUGCCAGCUCCCUCCUGCCACUAGCGAUGGGAGUCUCUCCCCUUGACGCUGGAGCAUGAGCAAGGAGCAGCCAGGCCGAGGGGAGGUUUAUGGGUGGCGCUGAGCCACCCUGGGAGCUGGGGGGCCGGGCCAGCCUCCCUGCUCCCUGCGGCCCUCUCUGCCAGGUCACCAAGGGCCCUGUUCUCUGGAGGGGACCUGGCCUCAGCGAUGCCCCUCCGUUCCCACUCUUUGCAUCUGAGGGGGGCAGGGACUGGUAGAGGGAGGAGCCCGUGGACGUGACCACAGGCCGGCUCCUCCUCUGGGUCUCAGUUUCCUCAUCUGUAAGCCACCGGCCGGGCCCAGCCCGGCCAGUGUCACAGGGUGUUGUGGCUGUGAGCCAAGAGGGGUCGAGGGUGAGGUUGGACGAGGACCUCAUCUCCUACUGCUGGGCUUCUGAGGCCCAUGGGGCUGGGGCGGGGGCACUGCUGCUUCUGAAUCUGUGUGUGAUUUGCACACACAGGUGUGUCUGCCCGGAUAUGUGCACAGUCUGAAGCCACUGUUACUGUGCCUGGUUGGUAUGUGCGGGCGGGUUUGUACACGCGUGUACAAUGCCCUGAUGGCCCUGGGCUGCGGCCCUCCUUCUCCUCCCCCGCCGGCAGCUGGGUGGGGGUGGGGCGUGGCUGGCGCUCAGGCCCGGGCCCCAUCCAGCUGGUUAUUUAUUGAUUAAUUCUGCUGCCAGCUGAUGGAUGCCAAGCCUGUGCCAGGCACAGGCCCUGGGCUGAUUUACAUAAUUAAAAACCAUCAGUAACAGAGCCAGCCUCGCUCGCCAACGGCUUCCUCUAGCGUGACAACAGGCCGGGCCUCUCCCUCCCCUUCCUGUCCCCCAAGGCUUCCUCCCUCUGGGCCCUGCCGUCUCCCUGCCCUGCUCCGUGUCACUGCCUCAGCCCAGCCCUGGAGAGACUGGAGUGACCUGGAAUCUCUGGUCACCGGCUGAGAUUCCAUUAGCCGGUGGUUCCGAGGCUCUUUGAUGGAGAGUCCCAGCUUAUACGACUCAGCUGUGAUCCUCGAGAACGUGAUUUUUCAAGAGUCUAUUACUCUGUGUGACAAAGGAGAGAAGUGUUUGUUCUCUGCAGCCCUCACGGCUCCCGAGAAGGCGGAGGCCGCGGGGUGGGCUGGGCCAGCCAGCCUCUCUUUAGAGGAGUUUGUCCCUGCAGAGGGGGGGCAGGAGCCGCAGGAGUCUGUGCAGAGGGAAGGAGGACCAGGGACCAAGCCCGAGAGCUGAGGAUUCUCUGGCUGUGGCCCCACUUCCAAGACGACGUGGGAAGGAGACAUUGGAUCUCGUGGAGAGUGUGAUGUCCCUCAGGAAAGACUCCUGUGGUUAGAGAGGCAGUUUGGGGGGACAAGCGUGGGUUUCUCCACUUCUGGGCUGUGUGAUCCUGGGGACGUUACUCAGCCUCUCUGAGCUGCAGUGUCCUCACCUGGGAAGUGGGGGUUGUCUUGAGGUCCAGUGUUCACCCCUGGAGAGUGCUAGAACACAGCCGUCCCAAGUGAGCCCCUAGUGGGUGGGGGCUGAUGUUGUGUGGCAGUGAGGUUUUUGGGAGGCCACUGGUGUUUGGGGUUGAGGCCCGUGUGCUCAUGGCCCAGGACACCAGAACGACAAUGACCAGGUUUGCAAACAAGAAAGGGUUUAUUCACAAGGCAGCCAAAGAGGAGGGGGGGGGUCCAGUGCCCCCGCCGAGGGCAGGGUUUGGGAGUCUUUAUGGGGUAAAGACACAGGGUGGUCCGAGGCCUAAGCUCAGCUCUGAGGUGGAGUUCUGGACCUUUGGACAUCCAGAGGUCACUCACCGGCCCUGGCACAGGCCCGAGGGAAGGGCGGGUGGCUUCAGUGUUCUGAGCUACCUCUGCCACGACUCCACGCAGAGGGGGCUCCACAGCCCGGCAGGGGGUGCACUGCUUGGCCAGGUGACCCCUAAAGUGGCAAUAAAAGCAAGCGCCAGAGGGCAGGGAAGUGGAGCCCCGUUCAGAUUCAGCAGAAGGUAGCCCCCCUCCCCGGCAGCCUGGCCAGGCGUGCUGACCCUGGGGACAUGGGGCCCAGCUCCCAGCCCAGCCCGUCGGGCGGGGGACCUGGCCUCUCUCUGGUCUCUCUGGUUCAUCUGCCCCCACCCCGGCCUCUUCCUCCCCAUUUCCGUUGCCACAGCCCCACUGCUUGGCCGAACCCUUCCCCCUCCCCAGACACCCCACCUCCAGCGGCUUCCCCCGGAGGUUUUGAGGGGAACAUGGCCCCACCCUGGUCCCCAUCCACCAUCGCGGCCUGGAAGUCCCCUCGCAGACCCUGUCCCCCAGCCUCAGGGUGAGGGCCACAUGUCCUGGUCCUAGCACAAAGGACCUUCAAGUCGCAGUCGGCAACCUGAGAACCUGGGGCUGGAGAUGCCCAGAGCACCGGGCUUCAGCUGGACGCCUGGGACCCUCUGCAGGGUGACCCCUAAAAUGGCAAUAAAAGCAAGCCUGAGGACAGGGAAGUGGAGGGUCUGUUCAGAUCCAGCUUAGUCAGAUCCGGAGAAGAUGUGCCGAAGCUGAACAAGUCGAAGUGAAUGAGCAAGGAACGUCCCACGGAGCAGCGCAGUGCGCGCAGCGUAGCAGAACGGAACUUCCUUAGGAAGUCAAGCACCGCCAGGUGUGGCCCACGCCUGGGACCCAGGGACUCGGGAGGCCGAGGCACGAGGAUCCCCACCCAGUUCAAGGCCAGCCUCAGCAACUGGGCAGGACCUGACUCAAG